rnacentral:rRNA from 1 species
UAAGUUAUUAAGGGCGCACGGUGGAUGCCUUGGCACUAGAAGCCGAUGAAGGACGUUACUAACGACGAUAUGCUUUGGGGAGCUGUAAGUAAGCUUUGAUCCAGAGAUUUCCGAAUGGGGAAACCCAGCAUGAGUUAUGUCAUGUUAUCGAUAUGUGAAUACAUAGCAUAUCAGAAGGCACACCCGGAGAACUGAAACAUCUUAGUACCCGGAGGAAGAGAAAGAAAAUUCGAUUCCCUUAGUAGCGGCGAGCGAAAUGGGAAGAGCCCAAACCAACAAGCUUGCUUGUUGGGGUUGUAGGACACUCUAUACGGAGUUACAAAGGACGACAUUAGACGAAUCAUCUGGAAAGAUGAAUCAAAGAAGGUAAUAAUCCUGUAGUCGAAAAUGUUGUCUCUCUUGAGUGGAUCCUGAGUACGACGGAGCACGUGAAAUUCCGUCGGAAUCUGGGAGGACCAUCUCCUAAGGCUAAAUACUCUCUAGUGACCGAUAGUGAACCAGUACCGUGAGGGAAAGGUGAAAAGCACCCCGGAAGGGGAGUGAAAUAGAACCUGAAACCGUGUGCUUACAAGUAGUCAGAGCCCGUUAAUGGGUGAUGGCGUGCCUUUUGUAGAAUGAACCGGCGAGUUACGAUUUGAUGCAAGGUUAAGCAGUAAAUGUGGAGCCGUAGCGAAAGCGAGUCUGAAUAGGGCGUUUAGUAUUUGGUCGUAGACCCGAAACCAGGUGAUCUACCCUUGGUCAGGUUGAAGUUCAGGUAACACUGAAUGGAGGACCGAACCGACUUACGUUGAAAAGUGAGCGGAUGAACUGAGGGUAGCGGAGAAAUUCCAAUCGAACCUGGAGAUAGCUGGUUCUCUCCGAAAUAGCUUUAGGGCUAGCCUCAAGUGAUGAUUAUUGGAGGUAGAGCACUGUUUGGACGAGGGGCCCCUCUCGGGUUACCGAAUUCAGACAAACUCCGAAUGCCAAUUAAUUUAACUUGGGAGUCAGAACAUGGGUGAUAAGGUCCGUGUUCGAAAGGGAAACAGCCCAGACCACCAGCUAAGGUCCCAAAUAUAUGUUAAGUGGAAAAGGAUGUGGCGUUGCCCAGACAACUAGGAUGUUGGCUUAGAAGCAGCCAUCAUUUAAAGAGUGCGUAAUAGCUCACUAGUCGAGUGACACUGCGCCGAAAAUGUACCGGGGCUAAACAUAUUACCGAAGCUGUGGAUUGUCCUUUGGACAAUGGUAGGAGAGCGUUCUAAGGGCGUUGAAGCAUGAUCGUAAGGACAUGUGGAGCGCUUAGAAGUGAGAAUGCCGGUGUGAGUAGCGAAAGACGGGUGAGAAUCCCGUCCACCGAUUGACUAAGGUUUCCAGAGGAAGGCUCGUCCGCUCUGGGUUAGUCGGGUCCUAAGCUGAGGCCGACAGGCGUAGGCGAUGGAUAACAGGUUGAUAUUCCUGUACCACCUAUAAUCGUUUUAAUCGAUGGGGGGACGCAGUAGGAUAGGCGAAGCGUGCGAUUGGAUUGCACGUCUAAGCAGUAAGGCUGAGUAUUAGGCAAAUCCGGUACUCGUUAAGGCUGAGCUGUGAUGGGGAGAAGACAUUGUGUCUUCGAGUCGUUGAUUUCACACUGCCGAGAAAAGCCUCUAGAUAGAAAAUAGGUGCCCGUACCGCAAACCGACACAGGUAGUCAAGAUGAGAAUUCUAAGGUGAGCGAGCGAACUCUCGUUAAGGAACUCGGCAAAAUGACCCCGUAACUUCGGGAGAAGGGGUGCUCUUUAGGGUUAACGCCCAGAAGAGCCGCAGUGAAUAGGCCCAAGCGACUGUUUAUCAAAACACAGGUCUCUGCUAAACCGUAAGGUGAUGUAUAGGGGCUGACGCCUGCCCGGUGCUGGAAGGUUAAGAGGAGUGGUUAGCUUCUGCGAAGCUACGAAUCGAAGCCCCAGUAAACGGCGGCCGUAACUAUAACGGUCCUAAGGUAGCGAAAUUCCUUGUCGGGUAAGUUCCGACCCGCACGAAAGGCGUAACGAUUUGGGCACUGUCUCAACGAGAGACUCGGUGAAAUCAUAGUACCUGUGAAGAUGCAGGUUACCCGCGACAGGACGGAAAGACCCCGUGGAGCUUUACUGUAGCCUGAUAUUGAAAUUCGGCACAGCUUGUACAGGAUAGGUAGGAGCCUUUGAAACGUGAGCGCUAGCUUACGUGGAGGCGCUGGUGGGAUACUACCCUAGCUGUGUUGGCUUUCUAACCCGCACCACUUAUCGUGGUGGGAGACAGUGUCAGGCGGGCAGUUUGACUGGGGCGGUCGCCUCCUAAAAGGUAACGGAGGCGCUCAAAGGUUCCCUCAGAAUGGUUGGAAAUCAUUCAUAGAGUGUAAAGGCAUAAGGGAGCUUGACUGCGAGACCUACAAGUCGAGCAGGGUCGAAAGACGGACUUAGUGAUCCGGUGGUUCCGCAUGGAAGGGCCAUCGCUCAACGGAUAAAAGCUACCCCGGGGAUAACAGGCUUAUCUCCCCCAAGAGUUCACAUCGACGGGGAGGUUUGGCACCUCGAUGUCGGCUCAUCGCAUCCUGGGGCUGUAGUCGGUCCCAAGGGUUGGGCUGUUCGCCCAUUAAAGCGGUACGCGAGCUGGGUUCAGAACGUCGUGAGACAGUUCGGUCCCUAUCCGUCGUGGGCGUAGGAAAUUUGAGAGGAGCUGUCCUUAGUACGAGAGGACCGGGAUGGACAUACCUCUGGUGUACCAGUUGUCGUGCCAACGGCAUAGCUGGGUAGCUAUGUGUGGACGGGAUAAGUGCUGAAAGCAUCUAAGCAUGAAGCCCCCCUCAAGAUGAGAUUUCCCAACUUCGGUUAUAAGAUCCCUCAAAGAUGAUGAGGUUAAUAGGUUCGAGGUGGAAGCAUGGUGACAUGUGGAGCUGACGAAUACUAAUCGAUCGAAGACUUAAUCA